GCGUGGAUAAGACAUGCAAGUCGAACGAGAAACACUUGAGCUUGCUUUAGUGUUUCUAGUGGCGGACGGGUGCGUAACACGUGAGCAACCUGCCCUAAAGCGGGGGAUAGCCCACCGAAAGGUGGAUUAAUACCGCAUGUGACCUACGGGUUAAAGGUGCCUUCGGGUGCCGCUUUAGGAUGGGCUCGCGGCCUAUCAGCUUGUUGGUGAGGUAACGGCUCACCAAGGCGACGACGGGUACCUGGUCUGAGAGGACGAUCAGGCACACUGGAACUGAGACACGGUCCAGACACCUACGGGUGGCAGCAGUCGAGAAUCAUUCACAAUGGGGGAAACCCUGAUGGUACAACGCCGCGUGGAGGAUGAAGGCCCUAGGGUCGUAAACUCCUGUCAUCAAGGAGUAAGCCUUGGUCGUUAAUAGCUUCCAAGGUUGAUAGUACUUGAAGAGGAAGGGACGGCUAACUUCGUGCCAGCAGCCGCGGUAAUACGAAGGUCCCAAGCGUUGUUCGGAAUCACUGGGCGUAAAGAGUCUGUAGGCGGCGCGGAAAGUCAGAUGUGAAAUCCCAGAGCUCAACUCUGGAACUGCAUCCGAUACUCCCGUGCUAGAGUCAUGGAGGGGCAGGUGGAAUUAACGGUGUAGCAGUGAAAUGCGUGGAUAUCGUUAGGAAGACUUGUGGCGAAGGCGACCUGCUGGACAUGUACUGACGCUGAGAGACGAAGGCUAGGGGAGCGAAAGGGAUUAGAUACCCCUGUAGUCCUAGCAGUAAACGGUGCGCGCUUGGUGUGGGAGGAUUCGACCCCUUCCGUGCCGGAGCUAACGCGUUAAGCGCGCCGCCUGGGGAGUACGGUCGCAAGACUAAAACUCAAAGAAAUUGACGGGGACCCGCACAAGCGGUGGAGUAUGUGGCUUAAUUCGAUGCAACGCGAAGAACCUUACCAGGGCUUGACAUCGGCAUAGCUUGCUAUGAGGGCAUGAAAGUGCCCGAACCAGACAGGUGCUGCAUGGCUGCCGU
rnacentral:rRNA from 1 species